rnacentral:misc_RNA from 1 species
AAGGAUCAUUACUGAGUGGUUUUCCCGCGAGGGAGCUGCCCGACCUGAUGUCAUUUGCGCUGGAGUGGGGGUAGGGAUUUUUUUCCGGUUCAGGGUUACCCGGACGGGACGGAGGUCUCGGAAGGGGGCUCGGGCCGGCCCGCCGCCGCUCCGGUAUUUAAACUUCGGCGGAAGAGGUAGGCGUCGACCUGCCCGCCGCCGGCCGCAACGUUUUACACUCUCGACGAGAACCUGAAGUCUGACGCAGCAAAGCGAAAAGAAAAGCAAAACUUUCAACAACGGAUCUCUUGGCUCUG